GAUUCUGGCUCAGGAUGAACGCUAGCGACAGGCUUAACACAUGCAAGCCGCGGGGCAGCACGGGUAGCAAUACCUGGUGGCGACCGGCGCACGGGUGCGUAACGCGUAUGCAACCUGCCCCCAUCAGGGGAAUAGCCCGCCGAAAGGCGGAUUAAUGCCCCAUAGGCCCAGGGCGCCGCAUGGCGCUAUGGGUAAAGCUCCGGCGGAUGGGGAUGGGCAUGCGUGCCAUUAGCUAGUUGGGGCGGUAACGGCGCACCAAGGCGACGAUGGCUAGGGGGUCUGAGAGGAUGGUCCCCCACACUGGUACUGAGACACGGACCAGACUCCUACGGGAGGCAGCAGUGAGGAAUAUUGGUCAAUGGGCGGAAGCCUGAACCAGCCAUGCCGCGUGAACGAAGAAGGCCGUGAGGUUGUAAAGUUCUUUUCGGGAGGGGGAACAACCGUGGCAGGGAAUGGCCACGGGAUGACGUGAAUCCCGGAAUAAGCCCCGGCUAACUACGUGCCAGCCGCCGC
rnacentral:rRNA from 1 species